UAUUUUCUCCCAUUCUGUAAGUUGUCUAUUUGUUUUCUUUUUGGUUUCCUUUGCUGUGCAAAAGCUUUUCAGCAUUAUUAUUUUAAAGUAAAAUGAAGUGAACUGAAAUGCACUUGUCAUGAUGUACUGUAUACAGUUAGGAGUAAGCUUUAGAACUGUGUUGCUUUUUAUUGAUAAAAUUUGUUUGUUUCUCAUCAAAGCCUAAUUACCGUAGAUCACAUUACCCAUAUCCCAAGCUAUAGCUAAACAUAAACCACACUGGGAUGAUAUUUAGAAAUAAUUUCACAUGAUGGAUUCUGUCAUGGGGAGAGAGGAAGAAAUGUGUUCAUAAAUCACUUUGAACAAAAUUAAAUAUCAAGUUUAAAAUAAAAAAAAUCUUGUGAAUAAUUUCUGAAAGCUAUUUUAAGUGUGUUACAGUGGUUUAAAAUUACUUGAAUAUGAACCUAGCUCUAUUAAAAAAAAAAAAGGAAACAGAAAUAAACAGGAAAGUUUUAUAGGUUUCUCAUGGCAGCUUAUUUAAUGUAAGAUUGUCAGGCAGGUAUAUUCAAGACCAUUCUUCUACCUAAAAAAAAGGAAACAGAAAUAAACAGGAAAGUUUUAUAGGUUUCUCAUGGCAGCUUAUUUAAUGUAAGAUUGUCAGGCAGGUAUAUUCAAGACCAUUCUUCUACCUGUUGAAACUUCAAAUUUUACUUACAUGAAGUCAAUUAGAAUUACUUAUCAGUGUGUAUAAUUGAGUCACUUUGGUUAAAUAUAGAUGUACAUAUCUAAUAUAUAAAUAUGUAUUGAGGGUCUUACAAUAGAAAAGUUGAAGGAUCACCAACUCUGUGUUAUAGUAAUGAACGAAGUUUUAACACAAGAAAAACUAUAACUUCUCUGGUUGGAAGUGAAAAAAAAAAUCUGUGCCUUUCAUCUUUAAGAAAAGGUCUGAAGAUGCUGAUUCAUUUAAUUUCUUCCCUUUGUUAUAUUUUAUUGUGGAGGAGAUAAAGGGGUUGGUUCAGUUUAUUGAAAAAUAAAAGGCUCUUGUACUAACUUACAUUUAUUUAUGAGUCUAAGUGUCUAGAGAAAAGAAAAUGAUCUCUUACAAAAUAUGAAUUGAAUGCUGGUAAGACUAAUACAAAAAUGGUCUUCAGAGUCACUUAGUGUAAGGUUUGUGCUGACUGAGUGAUUUGCUAUUGUGGAGAUCUGGGAGGUGGAGUGGGGAAAACAGGAAAGAUGAGAAUGUGGAGGAGUUCCCAUCCUGGCUCACUGCUAACAAAACCAACUUGCAUCCAUGACGACACAGUUCUGUCCCUGGCCUCACUCAGUGGUUUAAGGAUCCAGUGUUGCUGUGAGCUGCGAUGCAGGUCACAGAUGCAGCUCAGAUCCUGCAUUGCUGUGGCUGUGGUGUAGGCCUGCAGAUACAGCUCCAAUUAGACCUGUAGCCUUGAAACUUCGAUAUGCUUCAGGUGUGGCCCUAAAAAGACCAAAAAAAAAAAAAAAAAAAAAAAAAAAAGAGAGAGAGAGAGAGACUCUUUUAGGUAGAGUGGGGUGGAGGCACAGAAGUUAUGGUUGUUGCAAGGCCACUUUCCUUUAUGGGAUGAUAGGGGUCUGUUAGGCACAUCAUCUAACUAGUGUUGAUCAGGUGAUUCCAGGUUGACUAGUUUAAGAUUCCACUUCUAAGAGCCAAAACCCUAAUUAAGUCUUGGUUUAGUGACCGUGACUGGAGCUUAGCAGAAGCAACUCCAUUUGGGGCCUGUGGUCUUGUUUUUUAGCUCCUAUCAGGAAAGGGGAGCUCUAAUGGUUUGUGAGGGGUGACAGCACAUCUCGAGGGUGCACUUUUGUGAGUCCAAGUCUGAACUCACUCUCCUGGGUCAGCUAGCAGCUCCAUGUGCUGCCUUGAACUGGGCCAAACAUGAUGGUCCUCUCUUGGUCUUCAUUUUUCAAUAUCUUAUUUUGCUAGUUACUCUGCAGGGCCUUUGGGAGCUUACAAUACAGGUAUUUGUUAUGUAUUUACUUCCCAUGUGGCUCACAACAUAAGUACUUGGUGUUGCUUCUACAGUGGCUGUGGCUUGACCCCUGACUUGGGAACUUCCACAUGCCACAGGUGAGGCCACUUGUUUAAAAAAAAAUUUUUUGAUACUGCUUCUGGGUGACCCAUCAAAACAUGCUCCUUAAGGGCAUGUUUCCCUCUUCAGGCAAAGGAGAGGGGGUGAUUUGUCCAUUUUUGUUUUAGACUAUAUAUUAUGUGUGUGUAUUGCGUAUGUACAUAUAUUUAAGAAUUGCUGGGCGUUCCUGUUGUGGCGGAGGGGAAACAAACCCGACUAGUAUCCAUGAGGAUGUGGGUUAGAUCCCUGGCCUCGCUCAGUGGGUUAAGGAUGCUGUGAACUGUGGUGUAGGUCGCAGACACUGCUUGGAUCUGGCGUUGCUGGGGCUGUGGUGUAGGCCAGCAGCUGCAGCUCUGAUUGGACCCCUAGCCUGGGAACCUGCAUAUGCCACA
rnacentral:lncRNA from 1 species